AAGUUUUAUAUUGGUAGUUUAAUUAAAAUUGUCGUUAUAAUAGUAGAUACAAAACAUUAUUAGAUUAAGUAAAGGUGAUUGAAAUUUAAUACUUUUUACAUAAGUAGAGUACUGCAAAGGAAAUAAAAAACUAAAAAAUAGAAAUGAUUAGAGCCUGUACCUUUUGCAUCAUGGCUUAACUAGAUUAGUUUCCAAAUGGAAAAUCUCGAAACCUAAUGAGCUAUCUUUAUUCUUUUUUAUAGACUAGGUAGAGUUAGUUGUGGCAAAAACUUCUCGAGAAUUAAAGAUAGCUAUGAAAUUUUAUCCGCAUUAGGUGAUAGCUAGUUCUUCUUUAAAAACAUAUUAGUGUUUCAAGCUAGAGAUUUAAUAAUAUAAGUGCAGAUUUAUGGUUAUUAUAGUGGUUUGGUUAGGCUUGUGAGGAUAAGCUCGCAGGUUGCAUAGAAGUGCAUUUAAUUUUUUUUGAAAUAUAAGCUUAGUAAUGGUUAUUAAUGAAGGAUUUUGUUAUAAUUCAUUUUUUUAUUCUUAAUAUAAUUUGUUUGCUUUGGAGUCGAGAGAAGAAAUUUUAAUAACUUUGUUAUAAGAUAAUUUUAUGUUAAGAUGAGUAUUAGAAUCUAAAUUAAAUAUACUGACAAAUUAGAGGUCAGUAUUCCUAUAAAAUAUUUUAAAGUAAAAUUGUAAAAAGGAACUCGGCAAAAAUAUACUCUGCCUGUUUAUCAAAAACAUGGCUUCGUGUUAAUGUUAAGAUACGAAGUCGGACCUGCCCAGUGAGUUUUAAACGGCCGCGGUACUCUGACCGUGCAAAGGUAGCAUAAUCAUUUGCCUUAUAAUUGAAGGCUGGAAUGAAUGGUUUGACAAGAGUAUAGCUGUCUCUUUUAAAUUAUUUAGAACUUUAUUUUUGGAUGAAAAAGUCCAGAUGAUAUUAAAAGACAAGAAGACCCUAUCGAGCUUUAGAAAAAUUAAUAGAUCUAAUACGAGUCAAUAUAAGUAAAAGAAAAACUAUUAAAUAUUUUGGUUGGGGCAACCGAGGAGCAUCUAAAGCCUCCUUUAAUUUGAAAGUCUGACUUGUGUUGAUCCAAAUUUUUUGAUCAAAGGAAUUAGUUACCGUAGGGAUAACAGCAUUAUCUUUUUUAAGAGCCCAUAUCGAAAAAAAGGUUUGUGACCUCGAUGUUGGACCAGAAUAUCCUAAAGAUGCAGAAGUCUUUGAGGGUUGGUCUGUUCGACCAUUAAAAUUCUACGUGAUCUGAGUUCAGACCGGCGUGAGCCAGGUCAGUUUCUAUCUUUAUAUUUUUUGAUUGCGUUUAGUACGAAAGGACCAAUGUAAUGUAUAAAAUAUUUUAGUAGAUUAAAUAUAAUUUAACUUUCA
rnacentral:rRNA from 1 species